rnacentral:rRNA from 1 species
UACGAAGGGGGCUAGCGUUGCUCGGAAUCACUGGGCGUAAAGCGCACGUAGGCGGCUUUCUAAGUCAGGGGUGAAAUCCUGGAGCUCAACUCCAGAACUGCCUUUGAUACUGGAGAGCUUGAGUCCGGAAGAGGUGAGUGGAACUCCGAGUGUAGAGGUGAAAUUCGUAGAUAUUCGGAAGAACACCAGUGGCGAAGGCGGCUCACUGGUCCGUACUGACGCUGAGGUGCGAAAGCGUGGGGAGCAAACAGGG